AUUAAUUCAUAGUAUUAGUGUAAUUUAGGAUAAAUUAGGGUACAAAUAUUGAUUGAAAAAGAUUUAGGGGGUGUCCUAAGUGAUCAAGUAUACUGAUUUUAUAACGUUAAAAUGAAAUGUAUGGGUUUCCUCAUGGGAGUCUAAGUUCAAUAGGAAAGGAUUUUUACUUAAUCUAAUGAUGAUUAUUUCUUAACAUUAGUGUAGUUUAGGAUAUAUUAGGGUACAAAUAUUGAUUGAAAAAGAUUUAGAUGGUUUCCUAAGUGAAUAACAAUACUGAAUUCAUAACGUUUAAAUUAAAAUUAUGGGUUUCUUCAUGGGAGUCUAAGUUCAAUAGGAAAGGAUUUUUACUUAAACUAAUGGCGAUUAUUUCUUAGUAUUAGUGUAAUUUAAGAUAAAUUAGGAUACAAAUAUUGAUUUAAAAAAUUUAGGGGGGGUUCCUAAAUGAAUACUAUACUGAUUUUAGAACGUUAAGAUGAAAAUUAAGGGUUUCCUUAUGGAAGUCUAAGUUCAAUAGAAAGGAUUUUUACUUAAACUAAUGAUGAUUAAUUCAUAGUAUAAGUGUAAUUUAGGAUAAAUUAGGGUACAAAUAUUGAUUGAAAAAGAUUUAGAUGGUUUCCUAAGUGAAUAAGUAUACUGAAUUCAUAACGUUUAAAUUAGAAUUAUGGGUUUCUUCAUGGGAGUCUAAGUUCAAUAAAAAAGGAUUUCUACUUCAACUAAUGGUGAUUAUUUCUUAGUAUUAGUGUAAUUUAAGAUAAAUUAGGAUACAAAUAUUGAUUUAAAAAAUUUAGGGGGGGGGGGGGUUCCUAAAUGAAUACUAUACUGAUUUUAGAACGUUAAAAUGAAAAUUAAGGGUUUCCUUAUGGAAGUCUAAGUUCAAUAGAAAGGAUUUUUACUUAAACUAAUGAUGAUUAAUUCAUAGUAUUAGUGUAAUUUAGGAUAAAUUAGGGCACAAACAUUGAUUGAAAAAGAUUUAGGGGGUGUCCUAAGUGAUCAAGUAUACUAAUUUUAUAACGUUAAAAUGAAAUGUAUGGGUUUCCUCUUGGGAGUCUAAAUUUAACAGAAAAGGAUUAAACUUACAUUAAUGGUGAUUAUUUCUUAGUAUUAGUGUAAUUUAAAAUAAAUUAAGGUACAAAUAUUGAUUGAAAAAUUUAGGGGGGGGGGUUUCCUAAAUGAAUACUAUACUGAUUUUAGAACGUUUAAAUGAAAAUUAAGGGUUUCCUUAUGGAAGUCUAAGUUCAAUAGGAAAGGAUUUUUACUUAAACUAAUGAUGAUUAAUUCAUAGUAUUAGUGUAAUUUUGGUUAAAUUAGGGCACAAACAUUGAUUGAAAAAGAUUUAGGGGGUUCCUAAGUGAUCAAGUAUACUGAUUUUAUAACGUUAAAAUGAAAAUUAUGGGUUUACUCAUGGGAGUCUAAAUUUUACAGAAAAGGAUUUAACUUACACUAAUGGUGAUUAUUUCUUAGUAUUAGUGUAAUUUAGAAUAAAUUAAGGUACAAAUAUUGAUUGAAAAAUAUUUAUGGGGUUUCCGAAGUGAUUUAGUAUACUGAUUUAAGAGCGUUAAAAUGAAAAGUAUGAGUUUCCUCAUGGGGGUCUAAGUUCAAUAGGAAAGGAUUUUUACUUAAACUAAUGAUGAAUAUUUCCUAGUUUUAGUGUAGUUUAGGAUAAAUUAGGGUACAAAUAUUGAUUGAAAAAGAUUUAGGGGGUGUCCUAAGUGAUCAAGUAUACUGAUUUUAUAACGUUAAAAUGAAAAUUAUUGAUUUCCUUAUGGGAGUCUAAAUUUUACAGAAAAGGAUUUAACUUACACUAAUGGUGAUAAUUUCUUAGUAUUAGUGUAAUUUAGAAUAAAUUAGGGUACAAAUAUUGAUCGAAAAAUAUUUAUGGGGUUUCCGAAGUGAUUUAGUAUACUGAUUUAAGAGCUUUAAAAUGAAAAGUAUGAGUUUCCUCAUGGGGGUCUAAGUUCAAUAGGAUAGGAUUUUUACUUAAACUAAUGAUGAAUAUUUCCUAGUUUUAGUGUAGUUUAGGAUAAAUUAGGGUACAAAUAUUGAUUGAAAAAGAUUUAGGGGGUGUUCUAAGUGAUCAAGUAUACUAAUUUUAUAACGUUAAAAUGAAAAUUAUUGGUUUCCUUAUGGGAGUCUUAAUUUUACAGAAAAGGAUUUUUAACUUACACUAAUGGUGAUUAUUUCUUAGUAUUAGUGUAAUUUAGAAUAAAUUAAGGUACAAAUAUUGAUUGAAAAAGAUUUAAGGGGUUUCCUAAGUGAUUUAGUAUACUGAUUUAAGAGCGUUAAAAUGAAAAGUAUGAGUUUUUUCAGGGGGGUCUAAGUUCAAUAGGAAAGAACUUUUACUUAAACUAAUGGUGAUUAUUUCUAAGUGUUAAUGUAGUUUAGGAUAAAUUAGGGUACAAAUAUUGAUUGAAAAAGAAUUAAGGGUUUCCUUAGUGAUUAAGUAUACUGAUUUUAUAACAUUAAAAUGAAAAGUAUGAGUUUCCUCAUGGGAGUCCAAGUUCAACAGGAAUGGAUUUUGACUUAAACCAAUGGUUAUUUUUUCUAAGUGUUUAUGUAAUAAAGUAUAAAUUAGGGAAUAAAUAUUGACUGAAAAAUAUUUAGGGGGUUUCCGAAGUGAAUAAGUAUACUGAUUUUAGAACGUUGAAUGAAAAUGAUGGGUUUCCUCAUGGGAGUCUAAAUUCAACAGGAAAAGAUUUUACCUAAACUAGGGGUGAUAAUUUUUUUAGUAUUAGUGUAAAUAAAGAUAAAUUAGGGUACAAAUUAUAUUGAUUGAAAAAGAUUUAAGGGGUUUCCUAUGUGAUUAAGUAUACUGAGUUUAGAACGUUAAAAUAAAAAGUGUGGGUUUCUUCAUGGGGGUCUAAGUUCAACAGGAAAGGAUUUUUACUUACACUAAUGGUUAUUUUUUCUUAGUAUUAGUGUAAUUUAGGAUUAAUUAGGGUACAAAUAUUGAUUGAAAAUGAUUUAAGGGGUUUCCUAAGUGAUUUAGUUUACUGAUUUUAUAAUGUUAAAAUGAAAAGAAUGAUUUUCCUCAUGGGUGUGUAUGUUCAAUAGGAAAGGAUUUUUACUUAAACUAAUGGUAAUUAUUACAUAGUAUUUGUGUAAUUUAGGAUAAAUAAAGGUACAAAUAUUGAUUUAAAUAAAUUUAGGGAGUUUCCUUAGUGAUCAAGUAUACUGAAUUUGUGGCGUUAAAAUUAAAAGUAUAAAUUUACUCAUGGGGUUCUAAGUUCAACAGGAAAGGAUUUUUACUUAAACUAAUGGUGAAUAUUUCUUAGUGUUAAUGUAAUUUAAGACAAAUCAGGGCAGAAGUAAAGAUCCAAGAAUAUUUAUGAGGUUUUUGGAGUGAAUAAGUAAACUGAAUUUUUAAUGUUGAAAUGAAAAGCAUGGGUGUCCUCAUGGAGGUCUAUUUAGUUCAAUAGGAAAGGAUUUUUAUUUAAACUAUAAUGGUGAUAUAGGUUGUUUUUUUUAAUAAUCAAUUACAUGUACAUCAUGUAUACUGAUUUUUUCAAGUUAAAAGCAAAAGAUAUUGGUUUCCUCAUGGGGGUCCAAUACUUUACAAAAGGAUUAUUUUAUAUACCCACGGUGAUUAUUUCAUUGCAUUAAUGAACUCAACAUGUAACCAAUAUUAUUCUUCUUUUUUACAUUUUCUUUUCGAGACUCAAAACCAAAAAUUUUGUUUGCAAAUAGUGACUGAAGUGCCUCAAUAUGAUGUAGAUGUUGGAUAUUGUGCUUUUCCAGAGAAAUGGCCCAAAAUGGAAAGCAUCUGCAGACAAUGACUGAUACGUUUUUUGAUGCAGAUGUUUAAAAUGAUGCUUUUGAAGGAAAAAUAUCCAAGGUAAAUGAGGUUUCCUGAGAAAAGUGUUUGUCUCACAUGGAAAAGCCAUUGUCUAAGAUUAUACAUAUUAAGCACCAGUGUUCAGACAUAGGUUAACUUCCUAGAUAGACGAUUGAGGACCAAUAGUGUCAACGGAAAAAAAUCUACGCCAUGAAUAUUGCUUUAAUCAAUACUGGUUUAGAAACGAUAAUGAAACUCUGGUACAUUUUUUAUUGAUCGUGUGGUUUUCAUGUAUUCUCCCAAAAAUGAAGAUAUGAGAGAAUUAAUACACUUUUUACGUGUACAUGUACGUGUAAAUUC